CCUACGGGAGGCAGCAGUGAGGAAUAUUGGUCAAUGGGCGAGAGCCUGAACCAGCCAAGUCGCGUGAAGGAUGAAGGAUCUAUGGUUUGUAAACUUCUUUUAUAUGGGAAUAAAGUGAGGAACGUGUUCCUUUUUGUAUGUACCAUAUGAAUAAGCAUCGGGUAACUCCGUGCCAGCAGCCGCGGUAAUACGGAGGAUGCGAGCGUUAUCCGGAUUUAUGGGGUUUAAAGGGUGCGUAGGUGGUUAAUUAAGUCAGCGGUGAAAGUUUGUGGCUCAACCAUAAAAUUGCAGUUGAAACUGGUAUACGUGAGUAUAGUUGAGGUAGGCGGAAUGCGUGGUGUAGGGGUGAAAUGCAUAGAGAUCACGCAGAACACUGAUUGCGAAGGCAGCUUACUAAACUAUAACUGACACUGAUGCGCGAAAGCGUGGGGAUCAAACAGGAUUAGAUACCCGUGUAGUC
rnacentral:rRNA from 1 species